AAGGCCUGUAAAAUUAUAAAAUACAUCUUCUGAAUGCAACCCAGAUGCUUUAAUUAAGCUAAAACCUC
rnacentral:tRNA from 1 species